UGUUAACUAUCAGAGUCUUUAUGUCCCAUAAAAUUACUAUCUUCUCCAACAAAAAAAGAACAGGAUUUUAAUGCUUGUGAACCUUGCUUUGUGGUUUCCAAGUUUGGCUUUUCUGUAAUAUUU
rfam:Beta vulgaris subsp. vulgaris Bvchr2.sca004.con0021.1, whole genome shotgun sequence.